rnacentral:lncRNA from 12 species
CACCAGUGCACGGCACAGCUGGGCCUGUGGACCAUGACAGUGUCCAGCAGGGAAAAGUGUUACUGGAAUCAGGAAUGGCUCCAGUGCAGAAGAGAUUCUGGACAAUAUCUAGGGGCUGGACGAGGUUCAGGGCUGGAUAAUGGUUCAGGGCUAUAAUGAGGAUAAAAUUCACCUUGGGGCACAGGCUCGGGAUGCACAGUGUGUGCACUCAGCAGAGCAGAGCCCCGGCCCAGGGAAAGGGCUGAGCCAGCUGAGCCUCUGCCCCAGGGCUGCUGAACUCCCUUCUGCUCUCAGGGAUGGGACUGGGAGACGCCUCCACGCAGAGAGUGGCACUCGGCACGGCUUCAGUCCCCCGUGGAAGAGGCUGGGCUCCCCACUGCUCCGAGCUCCUGGUUAGGGACAUCCACGCCUGCGCCUGGCUCGGAGUCCAAGGUGCGCAUAUUCCGGAUCCAGCCACGAGAUGUUCCUGCUGCGGCUGCAGGUGUUUCCCAGCCCAGCUUGCUGAGUCUGACUGUGGCACGUUCUUCAUUCCAGCUCUGGCUCUGAGAUGCUCCACUCGAUGGCUGCUCCAGUUCCUUCCAGCUCUGGCUGAAUAACUGGUGUCUCUUGUGUAAUCUGUGUCUGUGCUCUGUCGUUUGUGUCCACCUGUGUUACCUUUGUCACACCUCGAUGCUUUAUCAGCAUCCUUCCAAGCCGUGGUACCCAACGCGUGACAGGUCCCGACAUGGUUCACGAUGCUGCUCGCUGAGUUUGGGGAAAUUUAGGGGAUUUUAGGGUGUUUAGGCGGGUUUUAAAAAAUUUUUUUAAAGAGUUUUUUUUUGGGUUUUACAGGGGCCCCCCCCCCCCCCCCCCCCCCCCCCCCCCCCC